UACGGAGGGUGCGAGCGUUGUCCGGAAUCACUGGGCGUAAAGCGUGCGUAGGUGGUUCGUUAAGUCUGAUGUGAAAGCCCUGGGCUCAACCUGGGAAUGGCAUUGGAAACUGGCGACCUAGAGUGCGGUAGAGGGCAGUGGAAUUCCCGGUGUAGCAGUGAAAUGCGUAGAGAUCGGGAGGAACAUCUGUGGCGAAGGCGACUGCCUGGACCAGCACUGACACUGAGGCACGAAAGCGUGGGGAGCAAACAGG
rnacentral:rRNA from 1 species